AACGCACAUUGCGCCCCAUGGUAUUCCGUGGGGCAUGCCUGUUCGAGCGUCAUUUAAACCUUCAAGCUUUGCUUGGUGUUGGGUGCUGUCUGUCAAGACUCGCCCCAAAUAUAUUGGCAGCAGAUUAUCAUUAGCUCAGCGCAGCACAUUUGCGUUUACUACUAAUAGUCUGCGUCCAUCAAGAUACCUAUUAUUUGACCUCGGAUCAGGUAGGGAUACCCGCUGAACUUAA
rnacentral:misc_RNA from 1 species